UUGACCUCGGAUCAGGUAGGGAUACCCGCUGAACUUAAGCAUAUCAAUAAGCGGAGGAAAAGAAACCAACAGGGAUUGCCUCAGUAACGGCGAGUGAAGCGGCAAAAGCUCAAAUUUGAAAUCUGACCCUUCGGGUCCGAGUUGUAAUUUGCAGAAGAUGUUUCGGGUAAGAAUAAGGUCUAAGUUCCUUGGAACAGGACGUCAUAGAGGGUGAGAAUCCCGUACGUGAC
rnacentral:rRNA from 1 species